rnacentral:lncRNA from 1 species
UUAAUUAUUCUUUAAUCAUAUUCAACACUUUGAUUACUAGGUAUCUAAUCUUGUUCUCACCAACACAAACACUCUGGCCCCUUUUACAGGUUAUCAUAGCUUGGAUCUGUUUCUUUGUACUUUGUUUUAGCCAGUCGGUGCUGAAUUGCUGUGAUACCCCUUUUUAUCAUAAACUCCGGUUUCACUCCAUACUUCAUAGCAGAAAACAAAG